CGGUAAUACGUAGGGUGCGAGCGUUAAUCGGAAUUACUGGACGUGAAGCGUGCGCAGGCGGAUUGUUAAGCAAGAUGUGAAGUCCCCGGGCUUAACCUGGGAAUGGCAUUUCAGACUGGCAGUCUAGAGUGUGUCAGAAAGGGGUGGAAUUCCACGUGUAGCAGUGAAAUGCGUAGAUAUGUGGAGGAACACCAAUGGCGAAGGCAGCCCCCUGGGAUAACACUGACGCUCAUGUACGAAAGCGUGGGUAGCAAACAGGAUUAGAUACCCUGGUAGUCCACGCCCUAAACGAUGUCAACUGGUCGUUGGGGGAGUGAAAUCCCUUAGUAACGUAGCUAACGCGUGGAGUUGACCGCCUGGGGAGUACGGUCGCAAGAUUAAA
rnacentral:rRNA from 1 species